rnacentral:rRNA from 1 species
UAGGGAAUCUUCCACAAUGGGCGAAAGCCUGAUGGAGCAACGCCCCGUGUGUGAUGAAGGGUUUCGGCUCGUAAAACACUGUUGUAAGAGAAGAAUGACAUUGAGAGUAACUGUUCAAUGUGUGACGGUAUCUUACCAGAAAGGAACGGCUAAAUACGUGCCAG